GAAUAGGUUAGUGGUUUUGUGAUCAUCGGUGGUUUGACCAAAGGCCACCUCCUGCCCUGCGGCGUCCAAGGCGUAAGCGCGUACGAAGAACGUGGCGAAGGGCACGUCGCGCUCGAUCGUCCACUCGAAUGUUUGGAGCUUCUUAAUGUAAGGCCUCUCCACGAUCUUGAACUGGCAUGUUCUGUCUUUAGACAACUCCUCCUCUGUCUUCCUCCAUGGCCGAUCCACUUGGCUGAUUGGCGCGUAGCAUAACUUCACCUCCACUUUCUUGUAGGUCGAGUCAACCCCUGCUGGCGCGCUCUGGUUUAGUCCCCACGUCACUGUCAUCUUCUCACCAACUUUCAGGACUGCAAAAAAUAUACAAAUUAAAUUAAGCACCACAUAGAUAUAUAUACAAACCC
rnacentral:lncRNA from 1 species